AUUGAGGUAAUAAAAUUUUGAACAUGUAUAAUGAAAUGAUACUUGGAAGAUAUUUCAUACUGGUACUGCUACCAAUAUAUUAAGUUAAUAGUUAGUACUAUAUCCCUAACUGUUUUUAAUUAUGCGGGUUUGCAGUACAAUUUUUCAACAGUCUCCGGAUUCAACGUGAAGACUUAACUGCUGCAACCAUUAACGCAUAAGGUAAGUUUUAUUCAUUAACAUUCAUCCUAUUUAAAGACAUUGAACUUUAAAAAUCAAAACUCUGCAGGAACCGCAUUUUCUUCGGAAUUUAUCGUCUCGUCCUUCGUCGUCAAGGAUAAGUUGAUUGAUGCUCCUUUUUUAAGGCGGAACGCCGAAAAGCUACGAAAAAAUCCAAAAAACGCUCAUCCGGAUGGAACAGCGACCAAACGUAAGUUUGACAAAACCAAACCGGCCUAGGAAGAAUCUUCCGGAAAGGCUGCUCGCCGGGAGCUGGAAAAAUCUUAAAAAUAAAACGACAGCGAUGAGGAAGAGGGGCAAACCUUUGAGGCCGCUGGAAGAAAUUUCAACUUCGAUGAUGAGAACGAUUCGGGAUUGGCCGGAACGGCCCAGAUCAAGGCGCUUCGGCUAAGAAGUAUUUGAGGGAGGUAGAGGAAUACGCUGUUCGAUUGGCUGGUUACAUCCGCCAGUAAAAUCAAUCAAAAAUGAAAAAAAAACGCCAUUCCUAAAAGUUCAGAGCAGAACCGGAAAACAAAGUUUUGCUUUACUGGAAAGCCAAUCGGGACCAGAGAAACCAGAGUGUUGAACAAACAAGAAAUACAAUAUUAAAAAAAUGAAACAUUGUUUUUUUUUCUAAGUUUUUAUCUACAAUUUUGAAAAUUUCCACAUUUGCUAUUCUGCUUUCCGAAUUACGAUUCAAAAAUAACCAUUUUUCUACCUCUAGGUUGCUGUCUCUUACGAUUGAAAAAUAACCAUAUUUGAACUUCUCCCCUAGAAGUCAUUUUAUGGCUUCUCAUGGAGAACUCAUAAAAUGACAUUUCCCGGGAAAAGGUCAAAAAUGGUUAUUUUUGAAUCGUAAAUGGUUUAAUAGUUUCUAGCGUGUUGGACGCGAAAACCACAAUGGUGGUGGAAUCAAAAAACACCAGCUUAUUUAAGUUUUGUUUAAGUUUCUCAUAUAAACGUUUUGAAUCGUUUCUUUAGUGAAGGUGAAUAUUUAUAAAAAAAAACGAACGGCGGAUGCACUUUAUGCACUUUGCUUCAACUAGGUUAUGCAACUACCAAGAAGCGAGAUUAUUGGUGUCUGCAAGACCCAGCUGGCAUGGCCGGAGCCAACGAAUCUGCUGGGGAAAAUCUUAAAAUGCAACUAUCGAGACUGCAACAACGGUACCAAGUUCACUGUAACAACAGCAGCAGGAAAAACAACAGAUGUUUCCAGAAAGGCAACUUGGAAAGGCUCGAGCCAGAAAUUGGUGGUCACGAAUAAAUAGGAAAUCCGGAACAACAAGGGCUUGGUGGCUAGGAGCAGGAGUUACUCAAACAAAAUCGCAAGGCUGGGGCGUACCGGAAAAGUUGGAUAGAUUUUUGCUUUCGCGUAAAAAAAGAUGCCAAUCAACCAGUACCGGAACCAGCACCGCCUGAAACAAGUGUGUGAUGUCUACUGCGGAAUUCUUCCUGCUUACCAAUAGCUUUAUUAAGCCGUGCAUGAUUCUAACCAAUCAACUGAACCACUUUGAAGAGCUUUUGUAAAGCCAACAAUAUUCCCAAGCGAAACAACAAAAGUGAUCGAAACAAAGAAUUUAAACUUGUUAGCAUUUAAGAGAGCUGUUAUUUUUAUAUACUACGAAUGUACAAUUAAAACAUUUUAUUAACGGCACCACACAAUAUGAAUUUAUGGGUUUGGUCAAGAUUGUCGUCUUUCCUACUGUAUAGAGAUCAAAGGGAUUCUGGCCUGGCGCAUUGCUUAAUAGUUACUUACAUCUUUUAAAGAGUGCUAUUGCUUAUUUAUUUCAUCUACCAUCAUGAUUUUGGUUCUGUUUAAAUAACAAUAAAAAACUGCGAGUCUUUCACCAAACCAUCUCCUAGUCGUAUGGAAAGAUACGUUCCGUCAUAAAACAAACAAUAAAAAAAACUUAUUUUAGGAAGAUUAGUAUGAUAUUUUUGAAGAAUUCAGGCAUUCCAAUUAAAUUUAUUAAACCUUUCCAAUUUCCGAGAUUUCAAAGUCUUGCGAUUAUAACAUUCAUGAGCUUGAAAUAGAUUACAGGAAUACUAAUAGAGUACUCUCCAAUGGAUCCGUAAGCCAAGGAAUUUAUUUUUGUCAAGGGUUUUAAAUCAGUCUUAUAUGUAUCUAUAUUCAUUUUGAGUAGGCUAAGUAGAUAACAUUUUUUAAUGCUGGUUAAAGCAAAAUUCUGUAUAUUUGGCUAUGAGCAGUGAAAAUUUGAGGAAAAAUUCAGCCGUGGUCGCUAAUUCUCAGUAAAUAUCAUGUUCUUGGAAUCAUUAAAAAGUCGCUUCAUUCGACUGAUUUGCGUGUCUUUAUGCUGAACUGGCAUUUAGGCGAAUGGGAGUUUAGGCUCAUUCAGCAAUCUGAUGAAUAUUCAUUUCCCGUAAUUCUGUAUAAACACCCUCAACAAAUUGCAAAAUUAUUUCCUCACCAUUCGUUAUGAAGCUCCACGACAGAAUGGCAAAACAUUUUAAGCCGAAUGUGCCGCAUCAGCAUAAGUAUAUAAUGAACAUUUAGAAAAUAAAACAGGGAUAUUUGGGGUUUUGAGGCAUUAAUGAAUGUGUUUUAGAUGUUAGGACCGCCAUUUAACUUACUGACCAGAUCAAUUCUUCCAAAUCAUAUUCGAAUGUUAUUUUAAAAUUACGAUAUACUUUUAUUGAAUCAUUAUCAUUUCGUUCGACACGAAUGCCAUCGUUAAUAAAACUUUAAAAAAAAAUAUCAUUUCGUAUAAACCAUUGCCAAUUGAAUCGAAGUCGGUAAAACAGUAACUACAUAGUGCUUUAAUGUCAACAUUGAUGUACACAUACAUACACUUAAGACAAGAUGCAUAUUACGGUUGAAUGAAAAAAAAAACUACGAUGCUAGGCGUAUGAGUUUUAAAAUGUAUAGAUAUGUUUAUUUAUGUUAACAACGAAUCGACUACGCUACGAAUACGGUAACGAAUUUUACCUUGCAUUU